ACGAACGCUGGCGGCGUGGAUAAGACAUGCAAGUCGAACGAGAGAAUUGCUAGCUUGCUAAUAAUUCUCUAGUGGCGCACGGGUGAGUAACACGUGAGUAACCUGCCCCCGAGAGCGGGAUAGCCCUGGGAAACUGGGAUUAAUACCGCAUAGUAUCGAAAGAUUAAAGCAGCAAUGCGCUUGGGGAUGGGCUCGCGGCCUAUUAGUUAGUUGGUGAGGUAACGGCUCACCAAGGCGAUGACGGGUAGCCGGUCUGAGAGGAUGUCCGGCCACACUGGAACUGAGACACGGUCCAGACACCUACGGGUGGCAGCAGUCGAGAAUCAUUCACAAUGGGGGAAACCCUGAUGGUGCGACGCCGCGUGGGGGAAUGAAGGUCUUCGGAUUGUAAACCCCUGUCAUGUGGGAGCAAAUUAAAAAGAUAGUACCACAAGAGGAAGAGACGGCUAACUCUGUGCCAGCAGCCGCGGUAAUACAGAGGUCUCAAGCGUUGUUCGGAAUCACUGGGCGUAAAGCGUGCGUAGGCUGUUUCGUAAGUCGUGUGUGAAAGGCGCGGGCUCAACCCGCGGACGGCACAUGAUACUGCGAGACUAGAGUAAUGGAGGGGGAACCGGAAUUCUCGGUGUAGCAGAGAAAUGCGUAGAUAUCGAGAGGAACACUCGUGGCGAAGGCGGGUUCCUGGACAUUAACUGACGCUGAGGCACGAAGGCCAGGGGAGCGAAAGGGAUUAGAUACCCCUGUAGUCCUGGCAGUAAACGGUGCACGCUUGGUGUGCGGGGAAUCGACCCCCUGCGUGCCGGAGCUAACGCGUUAAGCGUGCCGCCUGGGGAGUACGGUCGCAAGAUUAAAACUCAAAGAAAUUGACGGGGACCCGCACAAGCGGUGGAGUAUGUGGCUUAAUUCGAUGCAACGCGAAGAACCUUACCUGGGCUUGACAUGUAAUGAACAACAUGUGAAAGCAUGCGACUCUUCGGAGGCGUUACACAGGUGCUGCAUGGCCGUCGUCAGCUCGUGUCGUGAGAUGUUUGGUUAAGUCCAGCAACGAGCGCAACCCCUGUUGCCAGUUACCAGCACGUGAAGGUGGGGACUCUGGCGAGACUGCCCAGAUCAACUGGGAGGAAGGUGGGGACGACGUCAGGUCAGUAUGGCCCUUAUGCCCAGGGCUGCACACGUACUACAAUGCCCAGUACAGAGGGGGCCGAAGCCGCGAGGCGGAGGAAAUCCUAAAAACUGGGCCCAGUUCGGACUGUAGGCUGCAACCCGCCUACACGAAGCCGGAAUCGCUAGUAAUGGCGCAUCAGCUACGGCGCCGUGAAUACGUUCCCGGGUCUUGUACACACCGCCCGUCACAUCAUGGAAGCCGGUCGCACCCGAAGUAUCUGAAGCCAACCGCAAGGAGGCAGGGUCCUAAGGUGAGACUGGUAACUGGGAUG
rnacentral:rRNA from 1 species